UCGCAUGUGAAUGGAUUUGCCCGGAGCGAGGGCUACUAUGCAAGGACAGUGACGUACAUCUGGACCUGGAAAUGCCCUCAGGCAGGCAUCAUCACCUUCACGUGCAGAAGCAGGGACUGCACAGGGGGCUGUUGGAGUGACACAUGUGCAAGUACCUAUUCAGGUAGGAGGAGGAGAGAGGUGACCCACAAGACCCAGCAAGGACAGAUUGAGGAGGGCAUAUUUGGAGUGAAGGUUUGCCUUUCCUUGAUGUGGAGUUCAUAUGCGUUCUUUUUCUUUCAUUAGCACCAAGGUCAAUGCAUCCUUUGUCUCAGCAUAUAGCGCACAAAGGUGGUGGUCAUUCAGGGGGAUAUCAAUGAUUACGACAAUGUGUUGGAGGCCUCCCGUGGAGCCGAUGUUGUCAUCCACAUGGCCAGCUUGGUGGACAUCUGGCACAAAGUCCCAAAGUCCGUCAUCCACUCAGUCAAUGUCACAGAGGAACUCUGGAGCUCUGACAGUGACCA